GAGCGACAGAGGGGGGGGGGAUUGAGUGAGCGGGGUGGGGCCACAGGGAAGAGGCAGGGUAGAUCCUGGGUUAAUCUUAGAUUCAAAAAGCGAUCUUAUGCGUAAAAAGGUUGGAGACCACUGGUAUAGGAGGUCUUUCCUAUCUCAUUCCCCCCCCCCUUUCCCUCUCAGUCUUCCCCCCCCCCACCCAUCUCCACCCCGCUGUGGAGAGUCCAGGAAAGGAUUCCAUAGAUCAAAAUCAGCCUGGAAAAGUACACUGAGCAUCAGAAACUUGGUUUACACAGUUCUUGUAUUGAUUUAAUUAUUUUGAUUAGGCAUAUGAUUUUUUUAAAUUAAAACCAUUACAUUGAUACAAAUCCUAAUAUGGACACAAUUAUACUACUAUAACUUAUCCCUUUAAGCCUAUGGGAAUAAGAAUACCAGUAGCUGCAUGUUGAGAUCUGUAUUAACUGCAGCCACGCUAGUGGGGUUGUACUGCUUUAACUAUACCAUUAUAGUUAAAGCUGUACAAUUUUUGCAUGUAGAUAAGCCCAGAGAACUUGAUUCAUUUGAAUGCUGACACAAGGUAGAGUGUCUUCUGAUCCCUGGUAAUAAAUUACUCUAUUUCAAACCAUUCAAAAGUCUGUACCUCUGAAUAUCUCAGAGCUCAAUCAAUGAAUUUCAAUGGUAAUAAAAAGCACAUUUUUAUUUAAAAAAAACCCCUCUCAUUAAUGUGUCUGUAGCUAUAUACUUGAAUUGCUCCGUUCAAAUUGGAGCAUGAAAUAAGGAUAUUAGUCUUCAUAGUAAAACAGAUCAAACAAAUAUAGAGAUGAAAGACUCAUAGGUCAUAGUAGUUAGGAAAGGAAAAUACCUAUCCUCUGUCAGUGUAGUAUACAGUUCUCAAAAAAACAAAAUAAUAAUAUAAUUCUCCAAUAGAGGGUGUUUCUUGAUUGGAGAGACUGAUUUACUUCUGCGAUUACUUAAGCACCAAAAAUAGUACUUUCUGCUCCCUCCAUCUCCAGUCUCCUUCCAAAUCCUUACCUUGGGUAUUGCAGGGUUUCUUUGUUUCAAAUGGAAGAUCUGCACUAAGGAUCGUGGACAACUGGUUCUUUCUUUGCCUGAUGACCAUUUACAAUUUCUCACGCAGAAGAGCAAUUGUCUGUUCUGAGGAUUCAGAGGAAUACCCAAAUACUCCCAUUCCCUGAAGAAAAGUUCAAUUUUAGUGUGUUUUUAAAAUCUUCACAUUUCCUUAAGGGUAGAGUUAUAGUACUCUGAUGGCUGGAUUAGUUAAUGAAUGCUGCAAUUGGGAUCAUGGCAGAGUUGUUAAAAUUGGAGAAUAUCAGAAGUUGUAUUUCUGUAAACAGUCAGGAAAAUGUAAAAUCAGAACUCAUUCUGUAGCUGAUCUACAGUGCAUCUUUUACACUGAGCUCACUGGUGACAGAAUGGCAAACAAAAUUCAUCUUGGAGAAAGUGGACAAGCAGGUUUAUCUUGCAUUUUUAAUUUAUCACAAUCAAAAGAAAAAAAUCAAAUUAGGCUGUUUGGAGUAGGAGAAGGUGCUGUAGUCUAGUAAACUAUAUAGUCAAAGAGCAGUUCUAGUUUGACCUGGAUGAGCAGAUCAUUUUUAAACAGACUCCCAAAUUCCUACUUGUCCUGUAAGAGAUGAUUUUAGUAGCCUUAACUUUAUAAUCGUACACUUCAAGACAUUUCUUUUACAGGUGACUAGAGCAACUGAUGUAAGACUUCGUAUGCAGAAAAUUUUUUAGUGUGCUGAAUAUUAUUUGCUGUAUAAAUGAAUUUAGCAAAAAGGGAUUUGUGCCAUGGUGAAGAGCUCAGUUAAGUAACUAGAUAUUUGUUUUUAGAAAAUGUAUAGCACUAUUUAAACCACAAAAAAUGUAAAACUUGAAAUUCCCAGAGAAAAUUAUCUCCAAUAGUAGCAUGCAUUUAAAAAAAGAAACUCUUGUAUUAUGCUUUGUCUACAUACACACACACACUGCAUUGUGUUAACUAAAUUUGAUUUUCAAAUAUAUUUCAUCUCAUGCCAAUUUAUGCAGAUACACUUAAAUCCAAACUAAAUUGAUAUAAGCCAUUUGUAAACUGAUAACAUUGUCAACAAAGGAAGAUGCACCAAUUUAACUAUAAUCAGUUUUUUAAUUUGUUUUAGUUAAACUGGUGCAAUUUUUGUCUUUAGACAAGGCGUUAAUCUACCAUUAUGUCUAACAGCAACAUUUUGACUCAAAUCUCAUUGCCAGUAACUUUCUACCAUAGCUUCCCUUUUCCCAUCUCUAGAAUUGAGUUGUAAAAUGUAGAAAAUAAGUUGUCAAAAAAGGAAAUUUCAAAACCCUAACCACUGCUGUCUUCUUCCCUGUUAAAUGUCCCAGUUCUUUAUUUCUUGCUUUCCUCUUUCUGUCUGCAUUUUUCCUCUCCAAAGUUCUCCUUUCUUCAUCUCUCCUUUUUAUACUUUCUCUCCUGGUGUCUUUUACUUUAACUGAAAAUUUAACUUUUUUAACAACCUUGAAGAGAACUACAUUUUGUGUAUCCUCCCUUUCCCUUUGAUACUUGUCUCUCUACUUCUUUUCUUUUGCUACCAUUCCAUUGUUCCUCUCCUGCUCCUUCUUUUUCCCUUUGUUACUCCCGGGGGACUUCUGCCCUACUGCGCCAUGCAUAAUUUUGCAGAAAUUAAUGUUUUUUGCACAGAAUUUCCUUUUCCUCACAGAAAUGGGCUGCAGUGCUGCUGGCUACCAUUAGGGGCCACUGGACAUGGCAGAGCCCAGCUCACACAUAGAAGACACGGCCAGAGGGAUUCCUGGCAGCUGCAGUUCCCAGCACGCACUGGGGGAAGUAGGCGGCGGCAGCGCGCAGUGGUUUCAGUGCCACUAGAUGGGACAGAACACCACACCCAGAAGGUGUGUGGGUUACACAGACCCCUGGGAUACCUGUCUUGAAGAGCUGUGGUAGCUUGUCAUCAGUAUUGUUAGUAAGUGCCUUAAUCAUAACUUGGUUAUCGUUGAUAGAGUCUUUAGAAAAGUGUUAUUGCAAAAUGUUAUUAUUAAUUGUUUAAUGUUGUUAAGGAAGGGCUUCAAUGUGACUAGCACAUAAAACCAUGUGUGACAGGGUCAAGACUCACCACUGCUGGCGCCUCCCGCUGGUUGCUCCAGGAAUUAGCUUUUCCACUGCAGAGUGCCCUCAGUGCAUGGUGUCUUGUCAGCUGUCCGUUCUGCUCUGUGACCCGCAUUGCUUUCCGCUUGGCUGCAUCCUCUUCAGGACACUGCCUUCCGGCAAUGUCCACUACUCCAGACUCACCCCCUUCCGGGGCGAGGGGGGGGGGGGAGUUAAGAGCAGUCUUUGGGACUCGCACCUGCCUCAGUGGCCAACUGCAACCCACAGUCUAGCCCCUUAGCUCAGAGACAAGUUGCAGUCUGUAUUGGCCACUGUCUUCUGUGGCCAGAUGCAGUAUAAGGAGAAAUGUGUGGGAGGGAAUCCAGGCCCACCCAUUUCUCUGGGUCCCAGCCCAGGGACCCUCUAGCGGCAGCCUCCUUCUGCCUUCCUUCAUUCCCCUCCUGUCCGCUUUCCUUCCCUGGGCCAUUUUCUCUUUGGCCCUGUACACCUCCUCGACCCUUUGUAGCAGGGCCCGCCGCCUAACAGGUAAUGGGGCUGGAGCUCUCUCUUGCUCUGUCCGAGGUGCUAGCUCCUUCCUCAGGAGCCAGUCUGUCUUCCUUGCCAGCCAGGGAGAGACUGCCUCUGUCUCCUCCUGCUAGGCACUCUUUAUAUAGGGCCUUGCCCAGCCCUGAUUGGCUGCCUCUGCCCUGUCCUGAUUGGCUCCCUACCGGCCUUUGUUGAUUGACUGCUGGCCUGAGCAGCCUCAAAGGCCUGUUCCAACCCUUUUUUCACCACAACAUGUAAAUACCUCUUGCUUUAAGUGAUAUCUACUAAAUAUUCCUAUCAAGCAGGUGAAUAGUAAUAUUUAGCAUAUAAAUAAAUUCUUACUGGUUGUAUUUAUUUUAGGUUCUUUGAAGUCAUGGGUCCUGGGCUCCCAUUCAUGCACCAUGCUAUGACAUCAAAGCUGCCAAGUACUUCUCCUGGAGGAUUAAGAUAGCCUAUGGGUGAAUGGAGUAAGAUAAUUUUUUUAAAAUAUAAGGUUCUGAGAUUGCUCAGUUGAAAUUAAUAAGCGUUUUGCCACAAAUUCUAAUGAGAGCAGGAUCAGGCCCUUGGUGUAGGAGCUAAACCAUGUACCAGUGUUUUUUUGUGAUAGCUGUGACAUCAUAGCAAAGUGCAUGCUGGGGUACCAGAAGAACAGUGCCUAGCAACUUUUGUGUUCUUGAAAAGGGAGAAAAAAUUGAAUGCAUGAUCCAAAGCUUGUUGAAGUCAGGGGAAUCUUUUCAUUGAUUUCAGUGGGCUGUUUAAGGAGUGAAUGUGCUUUCUAUACUCUAAGCCUAAUUAAUGGGUACAUUCCUCACAAUUGUUGAAGUAAAUGUUUUUUUUUAUUAUUUGCAGGUCACCUUUAAAAUAUGGACAUAUUUGAUCAAAGUCCAACAAUUCUGAAUUUAUCUUGGCAGGUUGUUUAGCUCAGGAAAGUACUACCAUAGUAAUAAAGAUAUUGUCUUUAGUCCAUUAACUAAUUCAUGUGGAAAAAUUCUGAAGAUCAUGUAGUGUAAUGUCAGCAAAGAAUUCCCCAUGCUUGAAAAAUUACCUUUCCAAGCUCUGUGCAGCUUUGUCCUCAGAAUUUGUCCUAUUGUCUUCAGAAUAUUUCUGUUACUAGUAUCUCAGACUGUAUAGUGUCAUCUUUUUGCAUUUUCUAAGUUCCUUUCUGAUAAGUUAAUAAGUUCCUUACUAAGCAACUGCUGCACAGAACUAAGCAACUAACUGCAUCAGAAUUGCAAAAGAAUUUGUGUGAUUUUGUUAUGGAGUGAACAAGAACCACAAUGCAAUACAAAGCAAGAGUUGACGGGCACUUGGAGGAUGGUAUAAUUUCAUCCCGUUGUCACAAAUAGAUCGGAAGUGUUAUUCUUGCAUUCAGCAAUGACUUUAAGUUGUUGAUGUGAAUUUUCUGGACACUGCAACUGCAUCAGCUGAUUUUAAGGGCUCAUAACACAAAGACUGAGUUACAUCACGACAGUUACUAAGGACUGUGUAGUGACUUCAGUCUGCUCACGGAGUGAAGGCAGUAUAUGGCUCUAAAAUAGUCUGUAAUGCCUGAUAGAUUUGUUCCUCAGGGAAUCCCUUAUAUGAAGAAUGUUGUUCAUUUUAGACCCCAAAAUUACAGCUAUUCUACAUAAACGUGCUGGUAUUGCAGCUUUUAUUGUUGUAAAUUAUUUAUCUCAGAUAAGUUGAAUCUUCAUUAUAAAAAGUCUUGCUCUGAGGAAAUGAAUCCCACAAUGUUUAAAGCUUGUUGCUGUAUCUGUCAUUUUGUCCUUUUUGGGGCAGGAGGAAGGGUUCUGUACUUGAGCCUUGGGAGAUUGAGGUACAUACCAAUAAAUGCCAGUUACUUUUUUGAAACUGUUUUUGAAAACUCAUCUAAUACCUCACAUUAUCUUACCUAACAGUCUCAUUCCCAAAAGAAAACAGCCACACAAUUUGGAGAGAUAGAAAAGAUUACGGUUUUUCUGGCGUGGCUUAUAAUUAUAACUAAAUUCAGAGACACGUUGCACAAAUGAGAACAUGGCCAGAGGACAGAUUCUAAAGCCAAGGCAGUUAAGCCACUAUACAAGCGCGAGAGACAGACAGACAGACAUCAGUCGUGUGAUGUGACUGGGGUAGUUUAUUUGCCACUUCAGGGAAGGAAAUCAGCCAAUGAGAGGUAGAUGUUCACAAACCCGAAGAGUCACGUAACAAACAAUCUUGUAACUCAGGCCACCCUUUCUGAUGAAUUUGACUGUGCAUUAUACACUAGAGAACUUGUCUUAUCUAUUAUUUACUCUUUUUAUGGCAUUUACACUUCUACAUUUAAUAAUUUUAUAAUAAUUUCAUCUGAGGAUUUCUAAGUGCUUUACAAACACUAAUUAUUCCCCACAGAUAGGCUGUUGUUGUUCUCAUUUUACUCAUAAGGAACCUGAAGCACAAAGUUCUGCAAGGUCAUUCAAAGCUUCUCAGAUGUGUGCUCUAACACUAGACCCUACUGCCUUCCAUGACACGGAGUGGUAUAAUGGAUUGAUCAGCAUUCAUUGCGGAUAUAUGUAUUUAGAGUGUUUGUGUAUAUUUAAUUGCUUUUCCAGGUACAGUAUAUGAUAUGAAAUUAGCAUGGCGUUUUUGCUUCCUUAUAUGUGUAAUGAGAUGAGUUAUGCCAGCCGAGUUCUAAGAAUGUUUAUUAGUAGUGGUUGCUGCUGGAGCAGAGGAGAAAGCUCAGACAUUUUUGUUACCUUUAUGAUUUAAAAAAUAUUCACUGUCAUGGUGACUAAAUUGUAAAAAAGAAAUCUUUAGUAUCCAGAGGAUAUUGCCCAACAUAUGUCAUUUUAAAGUGGGUGAAAUUUUGGGCCCAUAUUACUUGCUAAUUUUAUGGUGUUCGGGGUCUUUAGCUUACUUCUGAUGCUUACUCAAUAAAGACCUGAUCCUGCAAAGUACUGAGGACUUCUUGUGACUUUACUGUGAGUUGAGGGUUCUCAGAACUACCCAGGAAGUGCUCCGUAUUGUGCAAGAUUCAGCCUGAAGAGCAGAGGCAUGUUUUGCCAGAACAUUUGUACCAUCUGUGACAUUGGAGGUUUUUAUAACUUUUCAGGGAAAAGGUGUGUACUCGACAGAGCUUCAAAUUGUGUUGAGAACAACACCCAGAAAAGGUAUUGAGAGUCACGGUGAGCAAAAUAUAGACACAAGGGCUAAUUUAACUCUUCAUGGACUCUGGAUUGAAACAAAAUUACAGCUCCAUAUUUAACUGCAAUAGUAUGAGAGAGACAUAUAUCAAUUGUCUGAUUUCCAUUACUCAUCUGCUUUAACUUCCAAGUCAACAACUAGUCUGUUAAGAUGCCUGGACUGGGGCAUUAGCAUUGUGAUAUCUUUUUGCUGACUAUCAGAAGUGUUUUACUUCACCUAAUCAUUUUGGCUUACACACACUAGUCUUAUUUAUACAACAUUUAGAGUGUGCUAAGUGCUGUACAGACUGAUCAGACUGUUCCUGCCCCAAAAGAGCUUACAGUCUAUAAAUUUACAGUCAUGCUACUGUCUUUUCCUAGAUUAUGCAGUUUAUUAAUGUCAAGAAUAAAUUCAGGAAUUGGUAGGUUAAUGGAUCCCUUUUCUUUUGAGAAUACUCUAACAGUCUUGAUGUAUAAGGUUCCAAACAAUUAGUCAAUGGUACUAAUAAAAGCAUUAGCAACUUUGCCAUUACUCUUAA